UACGAAGGGGGCUAGCGUUGUUCGGAAUUACUGGGCGUAAAGCGCACGUAGGCGGAUCGAUCAGUCAGGGGUGAAAUCCCAGGGCUCAACCCUGGAACUGCCUUUGAUACUGUCGAUCUGGAGUAUGGAAGAGGUGAGUGGAAUUCCGAGUGUAGAGGUGAAAUUCGUAGAUAUUCGGAGGAACACCAGCGGCGAAGGCGGCGCUCUGGGCCGGGAACUGACGCUGAGGAGCGAAAGCGUGGGUAGCAAACAGG
rnacentral:rRNA from 1 species